rnacentral:lncRNA from 1 species
GGAGGAUGAUUGAGCACUUUUUUUAGAAAGACUUGCAUUAAUGAUUCUAAUUUAGACUAUGUAGGAGUAGGAUUAAUAAGUAGAUUUUUUUUUAGUUCUACUGCAUUUGGAUUUGAUUUUUCUUUUUAGGAACCCAACAUGAAGUAGACACAAACAAUUCAAACUUUAUACGAGCAAAGGAAGAAUGACCCACCAAUAG